rnacentral:rRNA from 1 species
UACGUAGGGUGCGAGCGUUGUCCGGAAUUAUUGGGCGUAAAGAGCUUGUAGGUGGUUUGUCGCGUCUGCCGUGAAAAUCCGGGGCUCAACCCCGGACUUGCGGUGGGUACGGGCAGACUAGAGUGUGGUAGGGGAGACUGGAAUUCCUGGUGUAGCGGUGAAAUGCGCAGAUAUCAGGAGGAACACCGAUGGCGAAGGCAGGUCUCUGGGCCACUACUGACGCUGAGAAGCGAAAGCGUGGGGAGCGAACAGG